rnacentral:rRNA from 1 species
CGUGAGCAACCUGCCCAUAAGAGGGGGAUAACAGCUGGAAACGGCUGCUAAUACCGCAUAAGACCACAUUGCCACAUGGCAAAGGGGUCAAAGAUUUAUCGCUUAUGGAUGGGCUCGCGUCUGAUUAGCUAGUUGGUAGGGUAACGGCCUACCAAGGCAACGAUCAGUAGCCGACCUGAGAGGGUGAUCGGCCACACUGGAACUGAGACACGGUCCAG